rnacentral:lncRNA from 1 species
UUUUUUUUGACUAAAUGAACAACCGAAUAGCCGAGAAAAGUCACAUUUUGUAAAUGCAUGUUUUUUUUCCUUUUCGGCUUUAAAUGUGAUUUCGUGAAUUUAAAACCAUUCACAUGGAUUAAGAGGAUUUAGCAAAAUUAACAACGAGAGGAAGAGAGAUGGCAAAUAAUUUAGGACUUGUGAUUUUGCUUCUAGUAAUUGUGCUGGUCUCAUGCUCUAAGUCUAGCGACUGUGCUCUUGCGUCUCCACAAAAGUCACGUCCAUCAUCAGGUUAGUCUUGACACAUAUGCGAAGGAUUUUCAUAAAUGGAACAUAAUCGAUGUUUUCUUCUCUUGGUUUCAGUAAAAUUUUUGGAAGAUCGAAAAAAACUAAUUAGUUGUUUUCAUCUUACUUUUCGGAUUGCUUUAGUCAAUCAAAAUGUUUAAACUGGUUACUUACUUGUUCUUUGAAACAUAUGAUAAGUGUUUUUUUUGUUUUGUUAAAGUAACAUAUGAUAAGUAUUUAUGCUAAUUUUCAAAAAUAUAAAGAAACAAUUACACUUUAUAUAAUAAUUGCCUCUAAAACAUCUUGUAAGAACACGAUGCAAAAUAUUUUUGUUAGCUCGAUCAUGAACUUAUUUUAAAGUCCUCUCUCUAGAUUAUUAAAUAAUAUAUAUCGUGGAUUUUGUUAAUCGAGAUAAAAUUUAAAUCAUCUUUGGUUUUGGAUUUGAUUUCUUAAUUUUGAUAAUUCAAAUGAAGCUUUACAAUUUUUGCAAAAAUCAUUAUUUGAUAAUGUAUUCGUAAGAAAAUAUGAUUGAUCGUCCCACAGAGAGCCAAUACUAGAUAUGUGUAUUAAUAAAAAUUUAACUUAUUUAAUACUUCCAACUUUUUAUUUUGACACCAGUGUUUUGACAUUUAACCACUAUAAUACCUAUUAGUUUUGUUAAUAGUUUUAAAAAUUUAAUUCAUGGAAAAAAAAAACUGAAUUUAAGUUAUUUUUUAUUACUAUAUGUAGAGUGGAGAAGGAAGUUAAUACCAGUACGGUCAUCAAGAAGUCCACGAAGUCCUUCAUUUGCGCCAAAAAAACCGCCGCCACCGCCACCUUCACCGCCUCUGUCACCAUCAUCACCACCAUCAAAUUAAUAAUUGCCAUAUUGAUACUUUCAUAUAGACCGAAUAUGGAUUCUUAGGUUCGUACAUGAUAAUAACAAAAUUAAUCGUUCUUAUUAAGAAAAUGAAUUGAUACAAUAAAACUAUUGUAAAAUGAUUUGUGAAGAAUGCCAUAUUGCCACUCUAUAUAACUGUUUUGUAAAAAAAAUAAAAAUAAUAACUGUUUUGCAUUA